ACUAGGCGUUGCGGCGAGCGUGAAACUGUUGCGAGUUUCCGGCGAGAAUUUCGCAGCAGCUUC
rnacentral:sRNA from 1 species